GUAACAGGUCUUUCGGGAUGCUGACGAGUGGCGAACGGGUGAGUAAUACAUCGAAACGUGCCUAGUAGGGGGGGAUAACUACUCAAAAGAGUGGCUAAUACCGCAUGAAAUCUAUGGAUGAAAGCAGGGGACCUUCGGGCCUUGUGCUACUAGAGCGGCCGAUGGCAAAUUAGGUAGUUGGGGGGAUAAAAGCUUACCGAGCCUACAAUCUGUAGCUGGUCUGAAAGGACAAUCAGCCACACUGGGACUGAAACACGGCCCAAACUCCUACGGGAGGCAGCAGUGGGGAAUUUUGGUCAAUGGACAAGAGUCUGAACCAGCCAAGUAGCGUGCAGGAUGACGGCCCUAUGGGUUGUAAACUGCUUUUAUAAGGAAAUAAAGUGAGUCUCGUGAGACUUUUUGCAUGUACCUUAUGAAUAAGGACCGGCUAAUUCCGUG
rnacentral:rRNA from 1 species